GAGUCAAGCGCUCCUCUCGGCGCCUCGCUCCCUUCUCUGUUCAGCCUCUGAUGAUAGAGAGAAGGUGAAGGGGAGACACGCAGAGAACUUCUCUCCUCGUAGGACAACAAUGGCGGAGAGUAAACGAACACACGAACAGUU
ensembl:ncRNA C02B4.13 ncRNA